GCCGGGCGCGGUGGCUCAAGCCUGUAAUCCCAGCACUUUGGGAGGCCGAGAUGGGCGAAUCACGAGGGCAGGAGAUCGAGACCAUCCUGGCUAACACGGUGAAACCCCGUCUCUACUAAAAAAUANNNNNNNNNNUAUUUUUUAGUAGAGACGGGGUUUCACCGUGUUAGCCAGGAUGGUCUCGAUCUCCUGACCUCGUGAUCCGCCCGUCUCGG
rnacentral:SRP_RNA from 1 species